CUGUCGCUGACCUUUCGGUCGUGCACGCCCGAGCGCUCUCACACAAUCCAUCU
rnacentral:rRNA from 1 species